rnacentral:piRNA from 1 species
UUUACAAUGUUAUUCGGUGCACCAUUUUCU